rnacentral:rRNA from 1 species
UUAAAUUGAAGAGUUUGAUCAUGGCUCAGAUUGAACGCUGGCGGCAGGCCUAACACAUGCAAGUCGAGCGGCAGCGGGAAGUAGUUUACUACUUCGCCGGCGAGCGGCGG